GCUUGCAACCGAUGAUGGCGACCGGCGCACGGGUGAGUAACGCGUAUCCAACCUGCCCUUCACCACGGAAUAAUCCAGUGAAAAUUGGUCUAAUACCGUAUGAGGUCAUACGAUGGCAUCAGAAUAUGACGAAAGAUUCAUCGGUGACGGAUGGGGAUGCGUCUGAUUAGCUUGUUGGCGGGUAACGGCCCACCAAGGCGACGAUCAGUAGGGGUUCUGAGAGGAAGGUCCCCCCACAUUGGAACUGAGACACGGUCCAAACUCCUACGGGAGGCAGCAGUGAGGAAUAUUGGGUCAAUGGGCGGGAGCCUGAACCAGCCAAGUAGCGUGCAGGAAGACGGCCCUAUGGGUUGUAAACUGCUUUUGUGCGGGGAUAAAGUGUGCGACGUGUCGGCUCAUUGCAGGUACCGCACGAAUAAGGACCGGCUAAUUCCGUG
rnacentral:rRNA from 1 species